rnacentral:ncRNA from 19 species
AUAAUGAUAGUCGCCUAAUGGCGAUUUUUUUAUAGCCGAAAUCUAGUCAAAUCAAACCUUUCAAAGGUACCCCCAAAUUG